GCGCAGCAGUCGAGAAUCUUCGGCAAUGGGGAAACCCUGACCGAGCGACGCCGCGUGUGGGAUGAAGGCCCUUGGGUUGUAAACCACUGUCAGAGGGGAUGAAAUGCCGGAAAGUUAUCUCUCCGGUUUGACAUAGCCUCAGAGGAAGCACGGGCUAAGUUCGUGCCAGCAGCCGCGGUAAGACGAACUGUGUAAACGUUAUUCGGAAUCACUGGGCUUGAAGAGUGCGUAGGCGGUUUCGUAAGUAGGGUGUGAAAGCCCCCGGCUCAACCGGGGAAUUGCGUCCUAAACUGCGAGGCUGGAGUGAGGUAGGGGUGUGUGGAACUUCCAGUGGAGCGGUGAAAUGUGUUGAUAUUGGAAGGAACGCCGGUGGCGAAAGCGACACACUGGACCUUGCUGACGCUGAGGCACGAAAGCCAGGGAGCAAACGGGAUUAGAUACCCGCGUAGU
rnacentral:rRNA from 1 species